rnacentral:rRNA from 1 species
GACGAACGCUGGCGGCGUGCUUAACACAUGCAAGUCGAACGGAAAGGCCCUGCUUUUGUGGGGUGCUCGAGUGGCGAACGGGUGAGUAACACGUGAGUAACCUGCCCUUGACUUUGGGAUAACUUCAGGAAACUGGGGCUAAUACCGGAUAGGAGCUCCUGCUGCAUGAUGGGGGUUGGAAAGUUUCGGCGGUUGGGGAUGGACUCGCGGCUUAUCAGCUUGUUGGUGGGGUAGUGGCUUACCAAGGCUUUGACGGGUAGCCGGCCUGAGAGGGUGACCGGCCACAUUGGGACUGAGAUACGGCCCAGACUCCUACGGGAGGCAGCAGUGGGGAAUAUUGCACAAUGGGCGGAAGCCUGAUGCAGCAACGCCGCGUGCGGGAUGACGGCCUUCGGGUUGUAAACCGCUUUCGCCUGUGACGAAGCGUGAGUGACGGGAAUGGGUAAAGAAGCACCGGCUAACUACGU